rnacentral:rRNA from 1 species
ACGAACGCUGGCGGCGUGCUUAACACAUGCAAGUCGAGCGGUAAGGCCCUUUCGGGGGUACACGAGCGGCGAACGGGUGAGUAACACGUGGGUGACCUGCCCUUAGCUCUGGGAUAAGCCUGGGAAACUGGGUCUAAUACCGGAUAUGACUCCAUGACGCAUGUUGUGGGGUGGAAAGCCUUGUGCGGCUAGGGAUGGGCCUGCGGCCUAUCAGCUUGUUGGUGGGGUGAUGGCCACCAAGGCGACGACGGGUAGCCGGCCUGAGAGGGCGACCGGCCACACUGGGACUGAGACACGGCCCAGACUCCUACGGGAGGCAGCAGUGGGGAAUCUUGCGCAAUGGGCGAAAGCCUGACGCAGCGACGCCGCGUGGGGAUGACGGCCU